rnacentral:rRNA from 1 species
GAUGAACGCUGGCGGCGUGCCUAAUACAUGCAAGUCGAGCGAACAGACGAGGAGCUUGCUCCUCUGACGUUAGCGGCGGACGGGUGAGUAACACGUGGAUAACCUACCUAUAAGACUGGGAUAACUUCGGGAAACCGGAGCUAAUACCGGAUAAUAUAUUGAACCGCAUGGUUCAAUAGUGAAAGACGGUUUUGCUGUCACUUAUAGAUGGAUCCGCGCCGCAUUAGCUAGUUGGUAAGGUAACGGCUUACCAAGGCAACGAUGCGUAGCCGACCUGAGAGGGUGAUCGGCCACACUGGAACUGAGACACGGUCCAGACUCCUACGGGAGGCAGCAGUAGGGAAUCUUCCGCAAUGGGCGAAAGCUUGACGGAGCAACGCCGCGUGAGUGAUGAAGGUCUCCGGAUCGUAAAACUCUGUUAUUAGGGAAGAACAAAUGUGUAAGUAACUAUGCACGUCUUGACGGUACCUAAUCAGAAAGCCACGGCUAACUACGUG